UACGAAGGGGGCUAGCGUUGCUCGGAAUCACUGGGCGUAAAGGGUGCGUAGGCGGGUCUUUAAGUCAGGGGUGAAAUCCUGGAGCUCAACUCCAGAACUGCCUUUGAUACUGAGGAUCUUGAGUUCGGGAGAGGUGAGUGGAGCUGCGAGUGUAGAGGUGAAAUUCGUAGAUAUUCGCAAGAACACCAGUGGCGAAGGCGGCUCACUGGCCCGAUACUGACGCUGAGGCACGAAAGCGUGGGGAGCAACAGG
rnacentral:rRNA from 1 species